UUAAGCGACUAAGCGUACACGGUGGAUGCCCUGGCAGUCAGAGGCGAUGAAGGACGUGCUAAUCUGCGAUAAGCGUCGGUAAGGUGAUAUGAACCGUUAUAACCGGCGAUUUCCGAAUGGGGAAACCCAGUGUGAUUCGUCACACUAUCAUUAACUGAAUCCAUAGGUUAAUGAGGCGAACCGGGGGAACUGAAACAUCUAAGUACCCCGAGGAAAAGAAAUCAACCGAGAUUCCCCCAGUAGCGGCGAGCGAACGGGGAGCAGCCCAGAGCCUGAAUCAGUGUGUGUGUUAGUGGAAGCGUCUGGAAAGGCGCGCGAUACAGGGUGACAGCCCCGUACACAAAAAUGCACAUACUGUGAGCUCGAUGAGUAGGGCGGGACACGUGGUAUCCUGUCUGAAUAUGGGGGGACCAUCCUCCAAGGCUAAAUACUCCUGACUGACCGAUAGUGAACCAGUACCGUGAGGGAAAGGCGAAAAGAACCCCGGCGAGGGGAGUGAAAAAGAACCUGAAACCGUGUACGUACAAGCAGUGGGAGCACAGAGCAAUCUGUGUGACUGCGUACCUUUUGUAUAAUGGGUCAGCGACUUAUAUUCUGUAGCAAGGUUAACCGAAUAGGGGAGCCGAAGGGAAACCGAGUCUUAACUGGGCGUUAAGUUGCAGGGUAUAGACCCGAAACCCGGUGAUCUAGCCAUGGGCAGGUUGAAGGUUGGGUAACACUAACUGGAGGACCGAACCGACUAAUGUUGAAAAAUUAGCGGAUGACUUGUGGCUGGGGGUGAAAGGCCAAUCAAACCGGGAGAUAGCUGGUUCUCCCCGAAAGCUAUUUAGGUAGCGCCUCGUGAAUUCAUCUCCGGGGUAGAGCACUGUUUCGGCAAGGGGGUCAUCCCGACUUACCAACCCGAUGCAAACUGCGAAUACCGGAGAAUGUUAUCACGGGAGACACACGGCGGGUGCUAACGUCCGUCGUGAAGAGGGAAACAACCCAGACCGCCAGCUAAGGUCCCAAAGUCAUGGUUAAGUGGGAAACGAUGUGGGAAGGCCCAGACAGCCAGGAUGUUGGCUUAGAAGCAGCCAUCAUUUAAAGAAAGCGUAAUAGCUCACUGGUCGAGUCGGCCUGCGCGGAAGAUGUAACGGGGCUAAACCAUGCACCGAAGCUGCGGCAGCGACGCUGAUGCGUUGUUGGGUAGGGGAGCGUUCUGUAAGCCUGUGAAGGUGUGCUGUGAGGCAUGCUGGAGGUAUCAGAAGUGCGAAUGCUGACAUAAGUAACGAUAAAGCGGGUGAAAAGCCCGCUCGCCGGAAGACCAAGGGUUCCUGUCCAACGUUAAUCGGGGCAGGGUGAGUCGACCCCUAAGGCGAGGCCGAAAGGCGUAGUCGAUGGGAAACAGGUUAAUAUUCCUGUACUUGGUGUUACUGCGAAGGGGGGACGGAGAAGGCUAUGUUGGCCGGGCGACGGUUGUCCCGGUUUAAGCGUGUAGGCUGGUUUUCCAGGCAAAUCCGGAAAAUCAAGGCUGAGGCGUGAUGACGAGGCACUACGGUGCUGAAGCAACAAAUGCCCUGCUUCCAGGAAAAGCCUCUAAGCAUCAGGUAACAUCAAAUCGUACCCCAAACCGACACAGGUGGUCAGGUAGAGAAUACCAAGGCGCUUGAGAGAACUCGGGUGAAGGAACUAGGCAAAAUGGUGCCGUAACUUCGGGAGAAGGCACGCUGAUAUGUAGGUGAAGUCCCUCGCGGAUGGAGCUGAAAUCAGUCGAAGAUACCAGCUGGCUGCAACUGUUUAUUAAAAACACAGCACUGUGCAAACACGAAAGUGGACGUAUACGGUGUGACGCCUGCCCGGUGCCGGAAGGUUAAUUGAUGGGGUUAGCGCAAGCGAAGCUCUUGAUCGAAGCCCCGGUAAACGGCGGCCGUAACUAUAACGGUCCUAAGGUAGCGAAAUUCCUUGUCGGGUAAGUUCCGACCUGCACGAAUGGCGUAAUGAUGGCCAGGCUGUCUCCACCCGAGACUCAGUGAAAUUGAACUCGCUGUGAAGAUGCAGUGUACCCGCGGCAAGACGGAAAGACCCCGUGAACCUUUACUAUAGCUUGACACUGAACAUUGAGCCUUGAUGUGUAGGAUAGGUGGGAGGCUUUGAAGUGUGGACGCCAGUCUGCAUGGAGCCGACCUUGAAAUACCACCCUUUAAUGUUUGAUGUUCUAACGUUGACCCGUAAUCCGGGUUGCGGACAGUGUCUGGUGGGUAGUUUGACUGGGCGGUCUCCUCCUAAAGAGUAACGGAGGAGCACGAAGGUUGGCUAAUCCUGGUCGGACAUCAGGAGGUUAGUGCAAUGGCAUAAGCCAGCUUGACUGCGAGCGUGACGGCGCGAGCAGGUGCGAAAGCAGGUCAUAGUGAUCCGGUGGUUCUGAAUGGAAGGGCCAUCGCUCAACGGAUAAAAGGUACUCCGGGGAUAACAGGCUGAUACCGCCCAAGAGUUCAUAUCGACGGCGGUGUUUGGCACCUCGAUGUCGGCUCAUCACAUCCUGGGGCUGAAGUAGGUCCCAAGGGUAUGGCUGUUCGCCAUUUAAAGUGGUACGCGAGCUGGGUUUAGAACGUCGUGAGACAGUUCGGUCCCUAUCUGCCGUGGCGCUGGAGAACUGAGGGGGCUGCUCCUAGUACGAGAGGACGGAGUGGACGCAUCACUGGUGUUCGGGUUGUCAUGCCAAUGGCACUGCCCGGUAGCUAAAUGCGGAGAGAUAAGUGCUGAAAGCAUCUAAGCACGAAACUUGCCCCGAGAUGAGUUCUCCCUGACUCCUUGAGAGUCCUGAAGGAACGUUGAAGACGACGACGUUGAUAGGCCGGGUGUGUAAGCGCAGCGAUGCGUUGAGCUAACCGGUACUAAUGAACCGUGAGGCUUAACCU
rnacentral:rRNA from 1 species